CGCGAAGUAGAGCAGCGGUAGCUCGUCGGGCUCAUAACCCGAAGGUCCUAGGUUCGAUCCCUAGCUUCGCAA
rfam:Cnuella takakiae strain DSM 26897 genome assembly, contig: Ga0131159_102